UGGGGAAUCUUGGACAAUGGGGGCAACCCUGAUCCAGCCAUGCCGCGUGAGUGAUGAAGGCCUUAGGGUCGUAAAGCUCUUUCGCCUGUGAAGAUAAUGACGGUAGCAGGUAAAGAAACCCCGGCUAACUCCGUGCCAGCAGCCGCGGUAAUACGGAGGGGGUUAGCGUUGUUCGGAAUUACUGGGCGUAAAGCGCACGUAGGCGGAUCGGAAAGUUGGGGGUGAAAUCCCGGGGGCUCAACCCCGGAACUGCCUCCAAAACUAUCGGUCUAGAGUUCGAGAGAGGUGAGUGGAAUUCCGAGUGUAGAGGUGAAAUUCGUAGAUAUUCGGAGGAACACCAGUGGCGAAGGCGGCUCACUGGCUCGAUACUGACGCUGAGGUGCGAAAGUGUGGGGAGCAAACAGGAUUAGAUACCCUGGUAGUCCACACCGUAAACGAUGAAUGCCAGUCGUCGGGUAGCAUGCUAUUCGGUGACACACCUAACGGAUUAAGCAUUCCGCCUGGGGAGUACGGUCGC
rnacentral:rRNA from 1 species